rnacentral:rRNA from 1 species
AGCAGCCGCGGUAAUUCCAGCUCCAAUAGCGUAUAUUAAAGUUGUUGCAGUUAAAAAGCUCGUAGUUGAAUUUCGGGAUCAAGUCGUCGGUCGUGCUUAGGUACGUACUGGCGUCAUUGAUUUCUCCCUUCUGACGAACCAUGAUGUCAUUAAUUUGGUGUUAUGGGAAAUCAGGACUGUUACUUUGAAAAAAUUAGAGUGUUUAAAGCAGGCUCACGCUUGAAUACAUUAGCAUGGAAUAAUGAAAUAGGACGUUCGAUCCUAUUUUGUUGGUUUUAGGAUCAACGUAAUGAUUAAUAGGGAUAGUUGGGGGCAUUAGUAUUCAAUUGUCAGAGGUGAAAUUCUUGGAUUUAUUGAAGACUAACUACUGCGAAAGCAUUUGCCAAGGAUGUUUUCAUUAA